GAAUUGCGAUAAGUAAUGUGAAACGCGAAGCGUGAAUCAUCGAAUCCUUGAACGCACAUGGCGCUGGCGGUCCCCAGCCGCCAGUACGCCUGUUUGAGCGUCGUCCCUUCCUUCUCACCCCCCUCCCCCACCAUUCUGACGGAUGUGCGGUGCGGUGCAGGGUGGACGUUGGGCAUUGAAGAGCCUCCAUGCAGUGGUGGUCGUUCUUCAUUGCUUGAAGAGGAGUGCUUGGUCCCUCCGGCAAAUGUGGGCCGCAGAGCAAUCUGGCAACUCUCUGCGACCGUACAACGGAGAGGGAGGGGCUAGCAAGCGCACAUGGCUAGGAGGGUACCUGCCCUGGUGCAACUGCCUGCCAUUAUAAGCCCAUCCUCAUACGACCUCAAAUCAGGCGAGGCUACCCGCUGAACUUAA
rnacentral:misc_RNA from 1 species